UUAUUUAUUUAUUUUCCUUUUUCAAUUAUAAUUACCCACUAAUUUAUGAUUUGGGGUAUUACAGUAUGGCAAGGCUAAGUUUCAAUCUUAACAGCAGAUGACUAGAGAUGUCACUAGAUAGUGAGUCUGGCAACCUUAUUGGUAAAGGUAGGUGCUCUUGUUUACCCAACAUUUGAAGUUGAUGCUGAAAAAAAGAAGUGAUUUAAUUACAAGAUUGGUACUCUUCGUUAGCUGCAAGUAGGGGUGACUUGGACGGGCAUAUAAAGUAGG
rnacentral:lncRNA from 1 species